CUCACGGUAUCGCGAGAGUUCCUCCAUGCGGGCAAACGCUAUCAGGUGAGAUCGCGAGAGUUGGCUCACACGAGUAAACGCCAUCAAUGGAAAACAUCACUCAUCAUGUGUUGUGAUCUUUCUCCGUUUAUUCUCAGAUCAGCUCCUCCCACACUGGGAUUAAUCAUCAGUGAAGCUCCUCCCACAUCAGUCACAUCAUCAGUGAAGCUCCUCACACUGGAAUGGAUCAAUAAAUGCUGGGAUAUUCCAAUCAGAUGACUAUCAGGAAGAGCUGAAAUCUGCAAUGACUGAGUUUAUUAAAGAGGACAGAGAGAACAUGAGUGAUCCAGAUCCCUGCAGAAUGAAACACACUGAAGAUACUGAAGAACAAAGAGAGCUGAUGGAAGUGAAGGAGGAGAGUGAAGAAC